ensembl:lncRNA
CUGAGUUGUAACUGAAGACUUGUCCGUAUAAAAGUUUACAGAUUUGUCUACGUAUUUACAGAUUUGUAUACACGUUCACAGAUAUAUCUGCAGUAUAUGGCUCAACUGUAAAAUAGACCUACCCGUGAAAUAUAAGGCCUUGGAUGAAGCAAAACCUCCUUCAACUGAACGGCAGCAAGACAGAGGCCCCACUUGACGGCAUCCCCCACCAGUCUGGUGCAGAGAAGCACCCGAAACUCCAAUACAUCUAAAACAGCACUGCAAGGAUACGAAGGAGAGUAUGGACACAUAAGUACAUUAUCGCCAGUGACUCUUUAUAUCUCAAGGAACGGAUAUCCCUCCAUAACCCCACCCACAGCUUCGGGUCGAGUGACAGCCUGCUGCUCCACAUCCCCAGGACCAGGCUCUGCUCCUUGGGGGAUCAGGGUUUUUGCUCAACCGCUCCUAGCCUCUGGAAUGCCCUCCCAAACUCCCUGAAGUCACCACAGACUCUGGGCUCAUUUAAAGACAUUUUUAUAUAGGAAGGCUUUUUGAUGAUAACCUUGCUAUUUUUGUCCUUACAUGUUACUUUUCUGUUUGUAUUUUCUAUUUAUUUAUUGAAUGC